CCUACGGGUGGCAGCAGUAGGGAAUAUUCGGCAAUGAGCGCAAGCCUGACGCAGCGACGCCGCGUGAACGAUGAAGGCUUUCGGAUUGUAAACUUCUUUUAUCAGGGACGAAGCAAGUGACGAUACCUGCUGAAUAAGCCACGGCUAACUACGUGCCAGCAGCCGCGGUAAUACGUAGGUGGCAAGCGUUAUCCGGAUUUACUGGGUGUAAAGGGCGUGUAGGCGGGAGUGCAAGUUAGAUGGGAAAACUAUGGGCUCAACCCAUAGCCUGCAUUUGAAACUGGACUUCUUGAGUGCGGUAGAGGCAAUCGGAAUUCCGUGUGUAGCGGUGAAAUGCGUAGAUAUACGGAAGAACACCAGAGGCGAAGGCGGAUUGCUGGACAGUAACUGACGCUGAGGCGCGAAAGCGUGGGGAGCAAACAGGAUUAGAUACCCUUGUAGUC
rnacentral:rRNA from 1 species